CCUACGGGUGGCAGCAGUCGAGAAUUUUUCUCAAUGGGGGAAACCCUGAAGGAGCGACGCCGCGUGGAGGAUGAAGGCUUUCGGGUUGUAAACUCCUGUCAUUUGGGAACUAGUACCAGAAGAGGAAGAGACGGCUAACUCUGUGCCAGCAGCCGCGGUAAUACAGAGGUCUCAAGCGUUGUUCGGAUUCAUUGGGCGUAAAGGGUGCGUAGGUGGCGCCGUAAGUCGGGUGUGAAAUUUCGGAGCUUAACUCCGAAACUGCAUUCGAUACUGCGGUGCUUGAGGACUGGAGAGGAGACUGGAAUUCAUGGUGUAGCAGUGAAAUGCGUAGAGAUCAUGAGGAAGACCAGUGGCGAAGGCGGGUCUCUGGACAGUCCUGACACUGAGGCACGAAGGCCAGGGGAGCAAACGGGAUUAGAUACCCUUGUAGUC
rnacentral:rRNA from 1 species